GGACUACUCGGGUAUCUAAUCCGGUUCGCUCCCCAUGCUUUCGUGCCUAAGUGUCAGAAAAUCCCCAGCAAGCUGCCUUCGCCUUUGGUGUUCCUUUCGAUAUCAACGCAUUUCACUGCUCCACCGAAAGUUCCGCUUGCCCCUAGAUUCCUCAAGAAAAUCCGUAUCAUUCCCAAGUCUUGGGUUGAGCCCAAGCAUUUAAGGAGUGACGCGAUUCUCCACCUACGCGACUCUUUACGCCCAGUAAUUCCGGAUAAUGCUUGCCACCUACGUAUUACCGCGGCGGCUGGCAC
rnacentral:rRNA from 1 species